AAAGACUCAGUUCCCUCUCGUUCAUGAAUGUUGGCGCUGAUCCCGCCUUGAGGACAAAGGAUUACGGGAAUCAAUAUGGAUUGAACAUAUACUUCCAUCAACAAUGACGGCUCAGUUACCUUUAAAUUUUAAGACAUUGGUUCAACAUCACUCAGUCCAUGCAAAUAUUCUGUUCGGAGAGAAAAGUAACAGAAUUGCUUCACCAAUCAACAAUGUGGAGGUGGAGAUGAACACCUUAGUUAGUAAACUGUGCUGCCUUCACGUCUUUUAAGAGAGGAAGGAAUGUGAGGACACCACAUCAGUGGGAGUGAGGUGUUUUUCAUGCCGAUAGAAGAUGUCAGAAAUGUUGUUACAGGAAACACAGCUUGGAAACAAUUUACCAUUAAUUGUAAUACUAAGUUUGUCCCUUUGUGUAAGCACUGUUGAAUGUUUAGCAUUUGAAGGCAUCAGUGUUUGUUAACACGAAAAACUUUAAUCAUUUUACAAAAACAAACGGUAGCACAAUCAUUGUUUUGUCAAAAAUGGAAGAAAAAAACUUGUGCUACAUACACAAACUGUCCUUUGUAUAAGAUUGUGUAAAGAAAAUAUUUAAUUUUGUUCAGCCAAUUGUUGAAGGAGGCAAAAAGAUGAAAAUGUGAAGUUCUGGUUCACAUCUCCUAACCAUUUCCUGACCCAGAUGUAACACCAGCAUGCAUUCCGAACUACACAUUUACAGAUUUUUGGCUGUUUUGAAAUUGCCUUUGUUACAUAUAGUCGUCUUUAUGUGUUCAAAAUAUGUUAUACUACUGUUCUAAAAUCAUAAACCUGUGUUUAGGGGUGUUUAAUGGGCUGCUCUUACACACCAUCAGACUCUUUAAGAUGAAUAAAUGUUUUUUUUGUUUCUUUGUUAUUUUUUACUUUUUGUGUUCUGACUAAAUAAAGAGUGUAAACUUU